GAUCCGCAAAAGUCGAGCCGCCUCCGGACCGAGGAACUGCCAAGCGCUUCGAGGCCACCCUCCUCUCGGGGUGAGUUCGACUGGGAGAGACUGGGCAACCGUGUCUCCUGAACGCUUACUUUCGAUCAGCGCGGGGCUGGCCGGGCGCAUUCAGUGUGGGUUUGUGGCGAGUCUGUCGGCACUCCACCCGACCCGUCUUGAAACACGGACCAAGGAGUCUAACAUGCGCGCGAGUCAUUGGGUGGUACGAAACCCAAAGGCGCAGUGAAAGCGAGGUCGGUCAAACGCCUAGGUGGGAUCCGUCCCCUGAAGCUCUCUCCGAGGGUCAUUGGGGGGCGGCGCACCACCGGCCCGUCCCGUCUGCGUUGGCAGUGGGGCGGAGCAAGAGCGCGCACGCUGGGACCCGAAAGAUGGUGAACUAUGCCUGAG
rnacentral:rRNA from 1 species